CCGGGACGCCCUUCCCUUUCGCCCCUCCCCGUGUAGCCUGGCCAGGAGGGCGUCGGGCCUCGCGUGGGGGCAGCUGAGGGCUGCGUGGUUGGCUAAGACCCAGUGGAAGGUGACAGAGUGUGGCAAUUAAGAGGAUGGGGUCCACAGCCAGAUGGCCAAGAAUCAAAUCCCAGCCCUCCCCCCCCCACCCUCAGCUGAUGACCUUCAGCACCACCUCCGUUUCCUGGUCUGUCAACAACGCCCCCCUCAUCGGGUUGCUUGAGGAUUAAAUGAGAUGCAAGGACAGUGUUUAGCACAUUGCCUGGCCCCUAGUGAGCGCUCAGUAAAUGUGUGCUAUUA